rnacentral:rRNA from 1 species
AAAUUAGAGUGUUCAAAGCAGGCCUUUGCUCGAAUACAUUAGCAUGGAAUAAUAGAAUAGGACGUGUGGUUCUAUUUUGUUGGUUUCUAGGACCGCCGUAAUGAUUAAUAGGGAUAGUCGGGGGCAUCAGUAUUCAAUCGUCAGAGGUGAAAUUCUUGGAUUGAUUGAAGACUAACUACUGCGAAAGCAUUUGCCAAGGAUGUUUUCAUUAAUCAGUGAACGAAAGUUAGGGGAUCGAAGACGAUCAGAUACCGUCGUAGUCUUAACCAUAAACUAUG